CACGUAGUUAGCCGGUGCUUAUUCUUCAGGUACCGUCAUUAGCCGGGGAUAUUAGCCCCAACCGUUUCUUCCCUGACAAAAGAGCUUUACAACCCGAAGGCCUUCUUCACUCACGCGGCAUUGCUGGAUCAGGCUUGCGCCCAUUGUCCAAAAUUCCCCACUGCUGCCUCCCGUAGGAGUCUGGGCCGUGUCUCAGUCCCAGUGUGGCUGGUCGUCCUCUCAGACCAGCUACUGAUCGUCGCCUUGGUGAGCCUUUACCUCACCAACUAGCUAAUCAGACAUCGGCCGCUCCAAAAGCAUGAGGCCUUGCGGUCCCCCACUUUCUUCCGUAGAACGUAUGCGGUAUUAGCGUAACUUUCGCUACGUUAUCCCCCACUUCUGGGUACGUUCCGAUGUAUUACUCACCCGUUCGCCACUCGCCGCCAGGUUGCCCCGCGCUGCCGUUCGACUUGCAUGUGUAAAGCAUGCCGCCAGCGUUCAAUCUGAGCCAGGAUCAAACUCU
rnacentral:rRNA from 1 species